rnacentral:rRNA from 1 species
GACGAACGCUGGCGGCGUGCCUAAUACAUGCAAGUCGAACGCAGUGGGGACGGGUGAGUAACACGUGGGUAACCUCCCAUCAGAGGGGAUAAAACUUGGAAACAGGUGCUAAACCGAUACUGAUGGAUGGACCCGCGGUGCAUUAGCUAGUUGGUGAGGUAACGGCUCACCAGGGCGACGAUGCAUAGCCGGUCUGAGAGGGUGACCGGCCACACUGGGACUGAGACACGGCCCAGACUCCUACGGGAGGCAGCAGUGGGGAAUCUUGGGCAAUGGGCGAAAGUCUGACGGAGCAACGCCGCGUGAGUGAAGAAGGCUUUCGGAUUGUAAAGCACUGUUGUUAGGGAAGCGGUAUCUAAACAGAAAGCCACGGCUAACUACGUGCCAGCAGCCGCGGUAAUUC